UACAGAGGUGGCAAGCGUUGUUCGGAAUUACUGGGCGUAAAGGGCGCGUAGGCGGUCCGAUAAGUCCCGUGUGAAAUCCCUCGGCUCAACUGAGGAAUGGCACGGGAAACUGACGGACUUGAGUUCGGGAGAGGGAAGCGGAAUUCCGGGUGUAGCGGUGAAAUGCGUAGAUAUCCGGAGGAACACCGGUGGCGAAGGCGGCUUCCUGGACCGACACUGACGCUGAGGCGCGAAAGCUAGGGGAGCAAACGGG
rnacentral:rRNA from 1 species